rnacentral:tRNA from 1 species
GCCGCGGUGGUGGAAUUGGUAGACACGCUGGUCUUAGGAACCAGUGCCUUNUGGCGUGAAGGUUCGAGUCCUUUCCGCGGCACNA